rnacentral:rRNA from 1 species
GGGGGGGGCAAGCGUUGUUCGGAAUUACUGGGCGUAAAGGGCGCGUAGGCGGUCCCGCAAGUCCUCCGUGAAAUCCCACAGCUCAACUGUGGAAUUGCGAGGGAAACUGCAGGACUUGAGUUCGGGAGAGGAGAGUGGAAUUCCCAGUGUAGCGGUGAAAUGCGUAGAUAUUGGGAGGAACACCGGUGGCGAAGGCGGCUCUCUGGACCGACACUGACGCUGAGGCGCGAAAGCUAGGGGAGCAAACGGGGAUUAGAUACCCCGGUAGUCCUAGCCCUAAACGAUGAGCACUUGGUGUGGCGGGUAUCGACCCCCUGCCGUGCCCGAAGCUAACGCAUUAAGUGCUCCGCCUGGGGAGUACGGUCGCAAGGCUG